rnacentral:rRNA from 1 species
UCGGGAAUUUUGGGCAAUGGGCGAAAGCCUGACCCAGCAACGCCGCGUGAAGGAUGAAGUAUUUCGGUAUGUAAACUUCGUAAGAAUAGGAAGAAUAAAUGACGGUACUAUUUGUAAGGUCCGGCUAACUACGUGCCAGCAGCCGCGGUAAUACGUAGGGACCAAGCGUUGUUCGGAUUUACUGGGCGUAAAGGGCGCGUAGGCGGUGUGUCAAGUCAGUUGUGAAAUCUCCGAGCUUAACUCGGAACGGUCAACUGAUACUGUCACACUAGAGUACAGAAGGGGCAAUCGGAAUUCUUGGUGUAGCGGUGAAAUGCGUAGAUAUCAAGAGGAACACCUGAGGCGAAGGCGGGUUGCUGGGCUGAUACUGACGCUGAGGAGCGAAAGCCAGGGGAGCAAACGGGAUUAGAUACCCCCGUAGUCCCUGAGCGGGCUGGCAAGGCGCAU